UACCCGGUAGUGUAACGGUAGCACAAGAGAUUUUGGAUCUCUUAGUCAUGGUUCGAAUCCAUGCCGGGUAG
rnacentral:tRNA from 1 species